rnacentral:rRNA from 1 species
UACGGAGGGUGCAAGCGUUAUCCGGAUUCACUGGGUUUAAAGGGUGCGUAGGUGGGUUGAUAAGUCAGUGGUGAAAUCUCCGAGCUUAACUUGGAAACUGCCAUUGAUACUAUCAGUCUUGAAUACCGUGGAGGUUAGCGGAAUAUGUCAUGUAGCGGUGAAAUGCUUAGAUAUGACAUAGAACACCCAUUGCGAAGGCAGCUGACUACACGGAGAUUGACACUGAGGCACGAAAGCGUGGGGAUCAAACAGG